rnacentral:rRNA from 1 species
AGUGAACGCUGGCGGUAGGCCUAACACAUGCAAGUCGAACGGCAGCACAGUAAGAGCUUGCUCUUACGGGUGGCGAGUGGCGGACGGGUGAGGAAUACAUCGGAAUCUACUUUUUCGUGGGGGAUAACGUAGGGAAACUUACGCUAAUACCGCAUACGACCUACGGGUGAAAGCAGGGGAUCUUCGGACUUUGCGCGAUUGAAUGAGCCGAUGUCGGAUUAGCUAGUUGGCGGGGUAAAGGCCCACCAAGGCGACGAUCCGUAGCUGGUCUGAGAGGAUGAUCAGCCACACUGGAACUGAGACACGGUCCAGACUCCUACGGGAGGCAGCAGUGGGGAAUAUUGGACACUGGGCGCAAGCCUGAUCCAGCCAUACCGCGUGGGUGAAGAAGGCCUUCGGGUUGUAAAGCCCUUUUGUUGGGAAAGAAAAGCAGCAGGUUAAUACCCCGCUGUUCUGACGGUACCCAAAGAAUAAGCACCGGCUAACUUCGUG